CCUACGGGUGGCUGCAGCGACGAAUCUUCCGCAAUGGGCGAAAGCCUGACGGAGCGACGCCGCGUGUGGGAUGAAGCGGCUUUGCCGUGUAAACCACUGUCAGGGAAUAGAAACACUGAUCAUUCCCAGAGGAAGGGGCGACUAACUCUGUGCCAGCAGUCGCGGUAAGACAGAGGCCCCGAGCGUUAAUCGGAAUCACUGGGCUUAAAGGGUGCGUAGGCGGGCCGUUAAGUGUCGUGUGAAAGCCCUCGGCUCAACCGAGGAACCGCACGGCA
rnacentral:rRNA from 1 species